GCUGGCGGCAUGCUUUACACAUGCAAGUCGGACGGCAGCGGGGUAGUGCUUGCACUACUGCCGGCGAGUGGCGAACGGGUGAGUAAUAUAUUGGAACGUACCGAGUAAUGGGGGAUAACCAAUCGAAAGAUUGGCUAAUACCGCAUACGCUCUGAGGAGGAAAGCAGGGGACCUUCGGGCCUUGCGUUAUUCGAGCGGCCAAUAUCUGAUUAGCUAGUUGGUGGGGUAAAGGCCUACCAAGGCGACGAUCAGUAGCGGGUCUGAGAGGAUGAUCCGCCACACUGGGACUGAGACACGGCCCAGACUCCUACGGGAGGCAGCAGUGGGGAAUUUUGGACAAUGGGCGCAAGCCUGAUCCAGCCAUGCCGCGUGUCUGAAGAAGGCCUUCGGGUUGUAAAGGACUUUUGUUAGGGAAGAAAAAGGAGCGGUUAAUACCCGUUUCUGCUGACGGUACCUAAAGAAUAAGCACCGGCUAACUACGUGCCAGCAGCCGCGGUAAUACGUAGGGUGCGAGCGUU
rnacentral:rRNA from 1 species